rnacentral:rRNA from 1 species
UACGAAGGGGGCUAGCGUUGCUCGGAUUGACUGGGCGUAAAGGGCGCGUAGGCGGUUCGUACAGUCAGACGUGAAAUUCCUGGGCUCAACCUGGGGGCUGCGUUUGAUACGUGCGGACUUGAGUGCGGAAGAGGGUCGUGGAAUUCCCAGUGUAGAGGUGAAAUUCGUAGAUAUUGGGAAGAACACCGGUGGCGAAGGCGGCAUCCUGGACCGACACUGACGCUGAGGAGCGAAAGCCAGGGGAGCAAACGGG